rnacentral:rRNA from 1 species
UACGUAGGUGGCAAGCGUUGUCCGGAUUUACUGGGCGUAAAGAGCGCGCAGGCGGUCGUUCAAGUCGCGUGUGAAAGCCCCCGGCUCAACUGGGGAGGGUCACGCGAUACUGAUCGACUGGAAGGCAGGAGAGGGUAGUGGAAUUCCCGGUGUAGUGGUGAAAUGCGUAGAUAUCGGGAGGAACACCGGUGGCGAAGGCGGUUCUCUGGGCAUUACCUGACGCUGAGGAGCGAAAGUGUGGGGAGCGAACAGG